rnacentral:rRNA from 1 species
AGUUUCUUGUUUUUUUAUAAGAAAUGUUUUCUGCUCGGUGGUUUUUAACAGCCGCGGUAAUUUGACCGUGCGAAGGUAGCAUAAUCAUUUGCCUUGUAAUUUAGGGCUGGAAUGAAUGGGAGGACAGAGGGCUAACUUUCUUCUUUUUUUCUAUAGAAUUUGUUUUUUGUGUGAAGAGACACAAAUUGGGUAAAGGGACAAGAAGACCCUUUUGAGCUUUAUUUUGGUAGUUUCUUUGUGAGCUUUUAGGAUCUUUAAAAAUUUGGUUGGGGCGACCGAGGAAGAUGAGAUCUUCCUUUAUUUAUUUUUUAGAUGUUGGAUCCUUAGUUUUUGGUUAAAAGAUUAAGUUACCAUAGGGAUAACAGCGUAAUUUUUUCUGUGAGUUCUUAUUAAAGAAAAAGAUUGCGACCUCGAUGUUGACUUUUAAUUCCUUUUUGGUGUAGCAGCUGUUUUGGGAGGUCUGUUCGACCUUUAAAUUUAA